UUACUAUCUAUUCUUCGCACCCUCAACCAAGAACACAUCGACGAACUUUGUUCAUUCCUAAAAAAUACAAUAGAGAAAAUAUUGCUCUGGCAAAGGAUGACCUGUUCCGAUGAAGGACGGCCAUUAUCGACUAACAUACGGAUAUUUCCGAGGUAGGUUAUCAGUUUUUCCCCUCUUCGAUAUGUGCUAUCACUAUUCGAUUUCGCUUUCUACUUUCCUAGCGGGAAAAAUUAUUUCGUUACUCCUUCUAUUUUCUUUCUCUGGUAAUAUAUCUUAUAACCCUUUACUUUUAUUCUGUUUUGUUUGUGUUAUAUGAUAUAUUUUGUGAUUUUUAGUUAGUAAAAUUCAGAUUUAUUUGUUAGGUUUUGAUUUUAUGCUAGAAACCAUGAGAUUUUCCCUUGUUCGGUGUUUGAUAUCGAUGUUGGAUGUUCGUUGUCUUGUUCUUUAUUCUGUAAAUCAUUUCGCUGCUCCUUUUUUCUUUCUCCGAUAAUAGUUUUUGAUAAAAAAAUUAUUCUACUUCUGUUUGUUAUUAUACAUUUUUUGAUUUAUAGUUGAAAAAUGGGGGGUUUAGCAUAAUAUGUACUACAAUUCUGCCUCGCACUUCCUGAAGUUGUUUCCACGAUGAAUCUAUAAUAGAUUGCAUUAGCUCUUUAUUAGUUUCUGCAAGGGUUAAAAUUUUCAGAAGAAAAAUAAGGAAGGCUAAGAUUUUCUAAUGAAAUUUCACUAUUUGUCUAAGUACCCGAACAUUUUACUGUAUUGACCGAAUUGACUAAGCGGAAAAUGCAGUACUGAUCAUUCUACAUUUUUUAUUUGGAUGCUUCCACUCGAAGCUGCAUUUGUGUCUUAACUCUAGUUUGCUUAAUAUUUGUAACCUAUCAUUCAUAAUCUAAUCUAAUUUAAGUAGGUAAAGGUAAUAGUCCGAUCCUUUGAAUUCUACUAUUAUCUUUUAUUUGGAUUGAAGGAAAAUGGACACAAAAGAUGAUAUAUGGGAAUAUGCGAAGGUUUGAAGAUCUUAAUUUUCAAUUUUUGGUUGAAAAUAUUUCAUAUUUUCUGCAUUAAGAUCUUUCAUAUUUUUUGCAUUAACAGAUCUGGCAUCAAUUUUAGGAUAAAUAUAAUAUUCCGGGAGAUCCACAUGACAGUUGAGAAAGGAUUAUAGGACGGUAUCUUGGGAGAUCCUAAUUUGGUAACUUGGUAUUGAAUUGUACAUUUCUGUGUUAACUUUGUUCAUCGCUUAUUCGUUGUUGCCUUGUAAAUUAUGUCUUAUUUCACUGUUGUUCACAUUAUUUCCAUGUGCUUUCAUACUGUACAUACUUAUUAUAUUGUUUAACCUCAGUAGGGCCAUAACCUUCCUUGUCACUACACGAUCGAGGUUAGGCUUGGCACUUACUAAGUACCGCUAUGGUGUACUCACGCCUCUUCUGCUCAUUCUUUUCAUGUGCAGAUCCAGGUACCUCCACUCAGGCUCAUUAUCAUUGAGGUAGGGAUAGCUACGAGAGCUUUGAGGUAUAUCUGUCGCGUCCGCAGACUGAAGAGUCUCCUUCUUACUAUAUAAUGUAGCGAUUAGACAUCUUUCGUACUUUGAUGUAAACUUUUUCUGGAGUUUAGAGCACUUAUUUAUGUUCCCCUAUCCUUUGUUGCCCGUGAGUUUUCGGGUUUUCAGAUAUUGUUAUAGGUUUUGUGAUGUUGAGUUGCAUAUGCUGAGUGACACUUAUAUACAGUUUUCCCUUAUCUUUUGAUUUUAAGUUUUUUCUUACUUCCGUGAGUUAUUUAAAUUUCCGCAUUGUUAGGCUUACCCAGUCGUAGAGACUAAGUGCCAUAACGACAUGUCCACGGAGGCUAACUGGGGCCAUGACACAUAUCUUUGAGAAUAUUCAACAUUGUUGGGGAAAUGCAAGACAGAGUUUUGAUGAAAGUUUACGGUUUGUGGUGAUUAGCGAAUUUUUCAUAUUUUAUAUAAUCCAUCAUGUAUUGGACUAUAAAGUAAAGCUAGAAUUAGGCUGCGGGUUUAAAUGUUUAAGCUUUCAUUUCGACUCUGAUUGGUAUUAGGAAGAGUUAAUAGAUAGCAGAAUUCUAAUUUUAGAGUUGAAUGAGGCGUGC
rnacentral:lncRNA from 1 species